rnacentral:rRNA from 1 species
AUUGAACGCUGGCGGCAUGCUUUACACAUGCAAGUCGAACGGCAGCACGGACUUUGGUCUGGUGGCGAGUGGCGAACGCGUGAGGAAUCCAUCGGAAAGUGCCCAGUUGUGGGGGAUAACUACUCGCAAGAGUAGCUAAUACCGCAUGAGAACUGAGGUUGAAAGCAGGGGAUCGUACGACCUUGCGCAACUGGAGCGGACGAUGGCAGAGUAGGUAGUUGGUGGGAUAAAAGCUUACCAAGCCGACGAUCUGUAGCUGGUCUGAGAGGACGACCAGCGAUACUGGGACUGAGACACGGCCCAGACUCGUACGGGAGGCAGGAGGGGGGAAUUUUGGACAAUGGGCGAAAGCCUGAUCCAGCAAUGCCGCGUGCAGGAUGAAGGCCUUCGGGUUGUAAACUGCUUUUGUACGGAACGAAAAGCUUCGGGUUAAUACCCUGGAGUCAUGACGGUACCGUAAGAAUAAGCACCGGCUAACUACGUGCCAGCCGCCGCCGUAA